CGGGAUAACCCGGAGAAAUCCGGCCUAAUACCGCAUGUGGCCGAGGGGAGGCAUCUUCUUUCGGCCAAAGGAGGCGACUCCGGAGACGGAUGGGCAUGCGUGACAUUAGCUUGUUGGCGGGGUAACGGCCCACCAAGGCGACGAUGUCUAGGGGUUCUGAGAGGAAGGUCCCCCACACUGGUACUGAGACACGGACCAGACUCCUACGGGAGGCAGCAGUGAGGAAUAUUGGUCAAUGGGCGAGAGCCUGAACCAGCCAAGUCGCGUGAAGGAUGACGGCCCUACGGGUUGUAAACUUCUUUUGUCAGGGAGCAAUUGGGUCCACGUGUGGGCUUAGCGAGAGUACCUGAAGAAAAAGCAUCGGCUAACUCCGUGCCAGCAGCCGCGGUAAUACGGAGGAUGCGAGCGUUAUCCGGAUUUAUUGGGUUUAAAGGGUGCGUAGGCGGAAUAUCAAGUCAGCGGUAAAAAUUCGGGGCUCAACCCCGUCGUGCCGUUGAAACUGAUGUUCUUGAGUGGGCGAGAAGUAUGCGGAAUGCGUGGUGUAGCGGUGAAAUGCAUAGAUAUCACGCAGAACUCCGAUUGCGAAGGCAGCAUACCGGCGCCCAACUGACGCUGAAGCACGAAAGCGUGGGUAUCGAACAGGAUUAGAUACCCUGGUAGUCCACGCAGUAAACGACGAA
rnacentral:rRNA from 1 species